UACGAAGGGGGCUAGCGUUGCUCGGAAUCACUGGGCGUAAAGCGCACGUAGGCGGCUUUUUAAGUCAGGGGUGAAAUCCUGGAGCUCAACUCCAGAACUGCCUUUGAUACUGAGAAGCUUGAGUCUGGGAGAGGUGAGUGGAACUGCGAGUGUAGAGGUGAAAUUCGUAGAUAUUCGCAAGAACACCAGUGGCGAAGGCGGCUCACUGGCCCGGUACUGACGCUGAGGUGCGAAAGCGUGGGGAGCAAACAGGG
rnacentral:rRNA from 1 species